rnacentral:rRNA from 1 species
GACGAACGCUGGCGGCGUGCCUAAUACAUGCAAGUCGAGCGCAGGAAACUGACGGAACUCUUCGGAGGGAAGGCAGCGGAAUGAGCGGCGGACGGGUGAGUAACACGUAAGGAACCUGCCUCAAGGAUUGGGAUAACUCCGAGAAAUCGGAGCUAAUACCGGAUAGUUCAACGGACCGCAUGGUCCGCUGAUGAAAGGCGCUCCGGCGUCACCUUGAGAUGGCCUUGCGGUGCAUUAGCUAGUUGGUGGGGUAACGGCUCACCAAGGCGACGAUGCACAGCCGACCUGUGAGGGUGAUCGGCCACACUGGGACUGAGACACGGCCCAGACUCCUACGGGAGGCAGCAGUAGGGAAUCUUCCACAAUGGACGAAAGUCUGAUGGAGCAACGCCGCGUGAGUGAUGAAGGUUUUCGGAUCGUAAAACUCUGUUGUAAGGGAAGAACACGUACGAGAGGGAAUGCUCGUACCUUGACGGUACCUUACGAGAAAGCCACGGCUAACUACGUGCCAGCAGCCGCCGUAA